ACUCCGGAGACUGAGCCAUGGGGGGAAAGCAGCGGGACGAGGAUGACGAGGCCUACGGGAAGCCAGUCAAAUACGACCCCUCCUUUCGAGGCCCCAUCAAGAACAGAAGCUGCACAGAUGUCAUCUGCUGCGUCCUCUUCCUGCUCUUCAUUCUAGGUUACAUCGUGGUGGGGAUUGUGGCCUGGUUGUAUGGAGACCCCCGGCAAGUCCUCUACCCCAGGAACUCUACUGGGGCCUACUGUGGCAUGGGGGAGAACAAAGAUAAGCCGUAUCUCCUGUACUUCAACAUCUUCAGCUGCAUCCUGUCCAGCAACAUCAUCUCAGUUGCUGAGAACGGCCUACAGUGCCCCACACCCCAGGUGUGUGUGUCCUCCUGCCCGGAGGACCCAUGGACUGUGGGAAAAAACGAGUUCUCACAGACUGUUGGGGAAGUCUUCUAUACAAAAAACAGGAACUUUUGUCUGCCAGGGGUACCCUGGAAUAUGGUGAAUAUUGCCCCUAACCUCAUCACUGUCGCCCAGAAGGGCCAGGGUGGGCACGAGAGGGAGGGGGAGUUGGGUAGAUCAUCACCAGGUUGGCUCUCCUGGGGAGUGUGGGACAGGCUGAGCCCCAUGGUGGUGGUGAGGGGACCUGCUUCUUCAUCCUGCUCUGUGUCUGUGUGUCUGUCCUUUCACUCCUGCC
rnacentral:misc_RNA from 1 species